rnacentral:rRNA from 1 species
CCCUUAGAUGUUCUGGGCCGCACGCGCGCUACACUGUUCGACGCAGCGAGUCUUAACCUUGACCGAAAGGUUUGGGUAAUCUUCAGCAAAGUCGAACGUGAUGGGGAUCGAUCAUUGCAAUUAUUGAUCGUGAACGAGUAAUUCCUAGUAAGUGCAAGUCAUCAGCUUGCGCUGAUUACGUCCCUGCCCUUUGUACACACCGCCCGUCGCUACUACCGAUUGAAUGGUUUAGUGAGAUCUCUGGAUUGACGCUGGCUAGGGGGCGACCCUUGGCCAGGCUGUCGAGAAACUGCUCAAACUUGAUCAUUUAGAGGAAGUAAAAGUCGUAACA